AGAUUGAACGCUGGCGGCAUGCCUUACACAUGCAAGUCGAACGGCAGCACGGGAGCAAUCCUGGUGGCGAGUGGCGAACGGGUGAGUAAUACAUCGGAACGUGCCCAAUCGUGGGGGAUAACGCAGCGAAAGCUGUGCUAAUACCGCAUAAGAUCUACGGAUGAAAGCAGGGGAUCGCAAGACCUUGCGCGAAUGGAGCGGCCGAUGGCAGAUUAGGUAGUUGGUGAGGUAAAGGCUCACCAAGCCUUCGAUCUGUAGCUGGUCUGAGAGGACGACCAGCCACACUGGGACUGAGACACGGCCCAGACUCCUACGGAGGCAGCAGUGGGAUUUGGACAAUGGGCGAAAGCCUGAUCCAGCCAUGCCGCGUGCAGGAUGAAGGCCUUCGGUUGUAAACUGACUUUUGGUAACGGUAACGAAAGUACUUACUUUACUAAUAAAGUAAGGAUAGACUGACGGUAACCGUAAGAAGUAAGACACCGACUAAC
rnacentral:rRNA from 1 species